rnacentral:rRNA from 1 species
UACGUCGGGUGCGAGCGUUGUCCGGAAUUAUUGGGCGUAAAGAGCUUGUAGGCGGUCUGUCGCGUCUGCUGUGAAAAUCCGGGGCUCAACCCCGGACUUGCAGUGGGUACGGGCAGACUAGAGUGUGGUAGGGGAGACUGGAAUUCCUGGUGUAGCGGUGAAAUGCGCAGAUAUCAGGAGGAACACCGAUGGCGAAGGCAGGUCUCUGGGCCACUACUGACGCUGAGAAGCGAAAGCAUGGGAGCGAACAGG